GACGAACGCUGGCGGCGUGCUUAACACAUGCAAGUCGAACGGAAAGGCCCUGCUUUUGUGGGGUGCUCGAGUGGCGAACGGGUGAGUAACACGUGAGUAACCUGCCCUUGACUUUGGGAUAACUUCAGGAAACUGGGGCUAAUACCGGAUAGGAGCUCCUGCUGCAUGGUGGGGGUUGGAAAGUUUCGGCGGUUGGGGAUGGACUCGCGGCUUAUCAGCUUGUUGGUGGGGUAGUGGCUUACCAAGGCUUUGACGGGUAGCCGGCCUGAGAGGGUGACCGGCCACAUUGGGACUGAGAUACGGCCCAGACUCCUACGGGAGGCAGCAGUGGGGAAUAUUGCACAAUGGGCGGAAGCCUGAUGCAGCAACGCCGCGUGCGGGAUGACGGCCUUCGGGUUGUAAACCGCUUUCGCCUGUGACGAAGCGUGAGUGACGGUAAUGGGUAAAGAAGCACCGGCUAACUACGUGCCAGCAGCCGCGGUGAUACGUAGGGUGCGAGCGUUGUCCGGAUUUAUUGGGCGUAAAGGGCUCGUAGGUGGUUGAUCGCGUCGGAAGUGUAAUCUUGGGGCUUAACCCUGAGCGUGCUUUCGAUACGGGUUGACUUGAGGAAGGUAGGGGAGAAUGGAAUUCCUGGUGGAGCGGUGGAAUGCGCAGAUAUCAGGAGGAACACCAGUGGCGAAGGCGGUUCUCUGGGCCUUUCCUGACGCUGAGGAGCGAAAGCGUGGGGAGCGAACAGGCUUAGAUACCCUGGUAGUCCACGCUGUAAACGGUGGGUACUAGGUGUGGGGUCCAUUCCACGGGUUCCGUGCCGUAGCUAACGCUUUAAGUACCCCGCCUGGGGAGUACGGCCGCAAGGCUAAAACUCAAAGGAAUUGACGGGGCCCCGCACAAGCGGCGGAGCAUGCGGAUUAAUUCGAUGCAACGCGUAGAACCUUACCUGGGUUUGACAUGGAUCGGGAGUGCUCAGAGAUGGGUGUGCCUCUUUUGGGGUCGGUUCACAGGUGGUGCAUGCCUGUCGUCAGCUCGUGUCGUGAGAUGUUGGGUUAAGUCCCGCAACGAGCGCAACCCUUGUUCACUGUUGCCAGCACGUUAUGGUGGGGACUCAGUGGAGACCGCCGGGGUCAACUCGGAGGAAGGUGGGGAUGACGUCAAGUCAUCAUGCCCCUUAUGUCCAGGGCUUCACGCAUGCUACAAUGGCUGGUACAGAGAGUGGCGAGCCUGUGAGGGUGAGCGAAUCUCGGAAAGCCGGUCUCAGUUCGGAUUGGGGUCUGCAACUCGACCUCAUGAAGUCGGAGUCGCUAGUAAUCGUAGAUCAGCAACGCUGCGGUGAAUACGUUCCCGGG
rnacentral:rRNA from 1 species